GAAUACACUAACUGUAAGUCGCUCUGGAUAAGAGUGUCUGCUAAAUGACUAAAA
rfam:Salmo salar isolate Sally breed double haploid chromosome ssa13, whole genome shotgun sequence.